rnacentral:rRNA from 1 species
UACGAAGGGGCUAGCGUUGUUCGGAAUCACUGGGCGUAAAGGGCGCGUAGGCGGCUGUUCAAGUCGGGGGUGAAAUCCCGUCGGCUCAACCACGGAAUGGCCUUCGGAUACUGGACGGCUCGAGACCGGAAGAGGUGAGUGGAACUGCGAGUGUAGAGGUGAAAUUCGUAGAUAAUUCGCAAGAACACCAGUGGCGAAGGCGGGCUCACUGGCUCGGUACUGACGCUGAGGUGCGAAAGCGUGGGGAGCAAACAGG